rnacentral:lncRNA from 1 species
UUUUUGGUGUCGACGUCUUUCUGAAAUCGAUGGCCGAACGCAACAGUAAUGGUGCUCCCGAGAUGUGAGUCAGACCAUAAUCCUAUCACAGUGUCGACAUCGGCCAAUUAGUCUAAUUGGGUGUAUUUUCAAGAUAAUUUCAAGGGUCUUGGCAAAUUGACUUAAAGGGGUGAUGGGGUCAAUUGUAUCGGAAUGCCAACGGGGUUUUUAUCUAACCGAAAUAUUUUAGAUGGACCAUUAAUUUUGAACGAAGUGAUCGCGUGGGCGAAAAAAAUCAAAAAAGAAAGCUUUU